AAGAGAGAAUUCAGGCAGGUUAUUGCAUUUUUUGAUCAAAUGUUUCUCUUUAUGCAUUUCAUUUUCAACUCUACAAAUGCAAACAUUAAAAUGGUUAAAUCAUUUUAUUAGGCAUAUGUAGUCACAGAAUGACAGCAUGCUUUUCCCUCACCAUUUAAACUUAAAAAGCAGUAUAUUGUGACACAGCCUUAAGCUCGUAUAAUAGAUGAAACAUGAAGAAAACACCACCGAUCAUUUUUCUGUAUUUACUUACCAUUGAAUACUUCAUUGAAUUCUCCAGGGGGUGCAUGAGUGAUGAAUUUUGCAGCUAUACGCACCUACAAUGAAGCAGAAAAGUAAUUAAACUAAAGACAAAAGAUAAUUUACUGAGUUCAUACAUAUUGCAACCUACACUGAAGCAAUUCACCACCAAAACCAAUGCUGACAGUGAUAGGAAGUGCUGGAUCUAGGGAGAAAUCUAAGCACGCAUUUUCAAAAUAAAAAUAGUCUCAUAAGACCAGAUUCUUUUCAGUGUAACCAAGCAGCAUAAUUCCAAAUGUACUCAGGAAGAUGUGCAAACUUCACAUGGGCGCCUGUAAAAAUGUGAACUGUUCAACUUGCACACUACUAACCUAUUUAAAGAAUAUGAAUGCUGGCUAGCCGCUCUUUUUGGUGACAUUCCUAAACAAUGUUUUUUCCUGAUCCUUGCUAGUAAUCAGAAACCUAAAUGCCAAGGUAUAUAAAGAAUAAGAAACCACUGUGGUAAAAGUGACACUGGAACUAGAUGGUAACCUGCAGUGCAACCACGUAGCUAACGAGUGUCUGACAUAUAUUGCAGGACACUGUGAUUCCCUGUGACGCAACUUGUUUGAUGCUGAUGACUGCUGAAGGAGAUGCCAUUGCUUCACAGCAAACAGUGUGUGAAGGAUGAGAGGUUGAUACCUCUAGAAAUGGAGCAGUAAACCAAUUACAUCAACUCCCAUGGGACUGCUUCCAGAGUUAAUUGUGCCUCAUGGACUUUGAAAAGCCACUGAUGUGCUUGGAGUGCAGAAGGUGGUCUGGAGAGAGAAAGUAAAAGCUGGGAACUGACAGAAAUGGGGGAGGUGAUGGGAACUGCCAAAAUGAACCAGAGACAUCAGAUGCAGCCUCCAAAUGAAGCCAUCCAAAUUUCAGCAGGUGUUGGGUUUUCUUUUUUUUUUCUUCUUUCUUGAUCCUCUAAUGCUGCCCAUGUCACUUCUAACCCUGGGCAGUAGACCCACCACCUGUGCCAUUCUGUGGCAUGUUACUCCUCUCAUCUUGAAGUAGUAUUUCAUUGGAAACUACUGUAGUCCCGCCAUGAACUGUCAGAGUGGUGGAAGAAUUCAGGCAUGUGGAACUGAGAGUGAUACAAUAAAUAACUGAAAAGGCCAACUGUAAGGAAAAUACCUCAAUGUCUGCAAACUUCGAAGCUGGAAAACAAAACCCCAUUCUCUUCUAAAAAGACCAAAGGGAAUAGAAUUAUCUUGGAAGACUUGAAACAGGAAAUGUCACAAAAUCAAACAUCUCCCUUAGAAUAAUAAAAAUGUCACAUUUCUUCCAAUAAGUACAGCUAACAAAGCUGUGCAAUAAGCCUUUCUUGCUCAACUAGACGUUUAUUGAAGAUGACUGCAGAACAGUGCUCAUUACAACUCUGAUUAGUUUUUCUGCUUCUCAUUUUGAGCGGUAAAACACAGGAGUGUGUAUAUAGCCAACUGCUUCAGCUGAAUUACUGCCAGAGCGGGAAAUAACUUGCUUCUCUCAACAGUCUUCCCCGUUUUAAUUAGAAAUUGUUGUUUGUAUUUUGUCACAUAAUGAUUUAAAGCAAAUCAUGAAAGGAAAUAAACACCUUUCCAAACAAA